rnacentral:lncRNA from 1 species
AGACCCAAAACCCGAUUAACAACAAUAUCAACGUCAACAACUUGAACAUCAACAGCCGAGAAUGGCCAAACCCACCGGUCAUCAGCCAUUAACAACAAUAUCAGCAUCAACAGCUCCAACCAAACAGCCGAAUCAAAAACAACGUUGACCCGACCCGGCGCGCGAACAUCUCCAAACGACCAAACAAACCCCUUGAAUCACGAAAAUACAUCUCUCUUCACCUUAUCUCUGCAAUUUUGCAGGCCUAGAGCCAUCUUUGUUGACCUUUUGCUUAAGAUUGAGUGUCUUCAAUUCCAAAAUCCAAUCCAAAUCAGAAAGGUCAGUCCAAAUCCGAAUUUCAGGGAUAUGUUUUCUCCAUUUUUAAAGAUGGAAAAAUCAAUAUCUUCUGAUAUAAAUGGGGAUUCAAGGGAAGAAGGAGGAGGGGAAUUUUGGGAAAAAUUUUGGGGUUCUGAAGGUGCUUGCCUUUAACCUCACGAAACCGACAUUCUCAAGAACACUCGAACAAUUGAAAUUCAAGGUCCUCAAAUUGUGGUGACGGAAGUUCGUCGUCAAGGCUCGAAGUCCCGUCCGCUGCCCAAAAAUCGGUAAGGCUCCAUUCUUUUUUAUGUCUUCCUUUUUAGUCGUGAAUUUUGUCGCUGUUAUGUAUUCUGUUUGUGGCUGAGAUUGGUCGAAUAUCCAUGAAGUCUUGGUUGUUGUUGGACAUAAAGAUGUUUAUAUGUGUUGAGGUUGGCGGCUUUAGGCUUUAGGGGCCGGUUCUAUUUUAAGAAAGAAAAUAUAUGUUAUGAAAUUUAGCGACUUAUGGUGCCGACAUGUUGAAAGUUUGAAUGAACAGAUUUUGUCCUAGUGUUUAUGUUGAUUAUAUGCACAUUGUUCCAUUAUUCUGAAAAUUGCUUGGUUUUGUUUGUCGUUAACAUCGGAUGAUUCAAUUUCUCUUAAGAUUAAUAGUUUUCUUUUCCUUCUUCUUUCAUUUUUUGUGUUACAUAUUUAUUUCAAAGAAUCUGGAGCUCCUGAUUUCUCUUACAAUCUGUGAUUUUUUUUUAUGUCUCUGUUUUGCUUUAGUCGUAUAGGUUUGCUUCUAGAUAAAAUAUGGUCCAUGCUUGGUUUGAUGUUUGUCACUAGUUUUUAGCCAUACGUAGGAUUUGUUCCCAAUAUAUUGUCCAUGGAUGUUGUGUUUGACAUUGUUUUUUGGUUGUUUUACUGAUAAGUGAAGCUUAAAAGCUUGAAAUCCCUUCAAAUGCUCAUUUUUGGUUGGUUAAAAAUGUUCAUUUUUGGUUGGUUAAAAAUGUUCCUAACUCAAGAUAACUUAUGCUAGGUUGUAGCCUUUGCUUUCUUUCCUUGUGUCAGUUGUAUUACGUUUCAAAUCUUUCCCCUGUAUUUGCUUUAUGGAAUUCCAUCUACUUUGAAGGAUCAUUAUAGUUUUUGUUUUCCUAGAAUGCUUGUUUAAUUGACAGGUCAUUUUUCUCUUUAAGAGAUUCCUAGUAGUAUCCUAUGACUCAAAAAUUGCAUCUUUGUUCGUUUUAGUUUUUUUGACAUGUUAAUUGUCAAUUUGCGUUAAAGUGUCUACAUCUCUUCGCGUAAGUCCAUUGCACUUCAUUUUAUCCUCAUUUUUGGUAAUCUUGUGAAGGUUGGUUAUGUGAGUUAUGUGUGUAGUUCGAAAUUGUUUCUUAAAAGGGACGAUAACAAAUAAUUUAUUUGUUUAUUUGGAGACUUUGACCACAAAUUAGAUUCUAAUUUUUAUUUUUUCUUUGUUGCAUGAAUUUCCUCUUAAUGAGUCCAUUGGGGACUCUCAUCCCUGCACGAUCCGCGAGACCAAAGUCUUAUUACAAAAUUCCGUGCCAAAGUCCCGAAAUAGGACUGAUCUAUGACGAUAUACAGGGGAUAUACAAUCCGGAAAUUGAUAUAUCGGAUGUAAAAGAAAGAGACGAGUUGAGGCCCAGGGCUGCUCAAGUGUGUUCGCUCAAAACGGGCAAAUAUACACUAAAAAAUGCCUCUGUAUACAGGAAUUUGAAGGACAUAUACAUUUGAUAUACCACUGGUAUACACAGCUGAAGGAAAGCUUAAAAAGUCCAUAAAACUAGGCCCAAGAUUGGUCAGAUUUGAAAUGGGCCAAACUGGGGCCCAAAAAUCUCAAACUUUAUUUUCUUUCUUGUACUUAUUCAUAUUGAUUGUAAUUUGUACUAACUUUAUUUUGGUUAAUUAAGUGGAUUCCCUAAGAUGUGGCAAUUCUAUUUUAUCCUCAUUUUCAUACUUAAUUCGUAAUUUUCUCACCUAAUGUAUCUCAUCUAAAUGAAUUAAAAUGGUUACUUUCGAUUUUCCUCUCUAAAACUAAGCCUAAAAUAAAUUGUUAAGUAUUUUAUUUAAAAUGACAUUUGUUUUGUUCAUAUGACUAGUAGCCUAUUUGGAUUAAAAUAACUUCUUUCAAAUCGAGAAAUAAUUGUUUUUCGUAAAUUUUAACUUUUCAUAAUUGAUAAAAUACUUUUAACAUGACUUUCUCUUAACAUCUUUCAAAAAUGUUAUUUACAACGAAA